rnacentral:sRNA from 1 species
UAGUACCGGCCGUCGGGCGGGAUGUUCACAACCCUUUGUUGUCCGACUCUGUUGCCUCCGGGGCGACCCUGCCUCCGGGCGGGGGCCCCGGGUGGACAUUUCAAACUCUUGCGUAACUUUGCAGUCUGAGUAAAUUUAAUUAAUAAAUUAAAACUUUCAACAACGGAUCUCUUGGUUCUGGCAUCGAUGAAGAACGCAGCGAAAUGCGAUAAGUAAUGUGAAUUGCAGAAUUCAGUGAAUCAUCGAAUCUUUGAACGCACAUUGCGCCCCCUGGUAUUCCGGGGGGCAUGCCUGUUCGAGCGUCAUUUCACCACUCAAGCCUCGCUUGGUAUUGGGCGACGCGGUCCGCCGCGCGCCUCAAAUCGACCGGCUGGGUCUUUCGUCCCCUCAGCGUUGUGGAAACUAUUCGCUAAAGGGUGCCGCGGGAGGCCACGCCGUAAAACAACCCCAUUUCUAAGG